UGGUUUCCUUGUCUUCCUUGGUCCUCAAUUUAUUUCCUUCCUUUCCUUGGCACAUUCCUAGCUUCUUUAGAUCUUUAAUUUUUUCCAACCACUUUGCUCCAUGCAUGUGAUAUCCAUUACAUGCCCAAAACUACUCCAAAGGCACCAAAAUGCACUUUUUUGCCUCUUUAACCCUUUGUACGUACAACCACACAAAAAUGGCUUGAAAUACUAAAUCAACUAAAAAAUAAUAACGUAAAUGCACAAGAACAAGCUAACUAAGUCGCAUAAAUAUGCUUCUAUCAUGUGUCUUCACGCAUAAAUAGUUGAGUUGACGACAGAAUAGGUGGAUGGAACUCAUCGGUGAGUUGAUUGCACCUUUGAGUACCAUCAUGGUCAGGCAACUAUCGUAGCUGAUGCUUUUAGUCGGAUAUCUCAUGGACAGUUUACCUUCAUCCGAGCUAUCUAUGUCCCACUAUUGUUUUCUCUUUGUGAAAUUUGAACUCUCUUGAUAUGAAACUAGUUGCUUUUGCUUAAGGGCGACAAAGUUGGAAAAAAGGAAAAUUGUUGGUGAGGCUCACAUUUUAACUUAGGCCAUGCAUGCUGGCAGUAUUAAAUUACCACUAUUUUCAUCCAUUUUAUUAUUGGCAUUGAAUGAAUGGGAUGUUGUUGAAUAUGUGAGUAAAUGUCUGAUCUACUGGUAAGUGGAAGCGGUGAGAUGGAAGUCAUGGGGCUUUCUCAAUUUCCUUCAAUUCUUGUUUGGAGGUGGGAAGAAAUUCCCACGAUUGUCCUUCUUGGGUUGUCGGGGACCCAUUAAGGAUGUGAAUGGAAAUGGGUGAAUCUCACCAUAGAUUUUCGGUACAAACCAUCUUGUACACAUGGAGACUAUAAUGAUGUUUUAAUAUUUGUUGAUCAACUCACUCGUCAUUUUAUCUAUGAGUUCGAAAGGACUAUACUUCGAUUGUUUGGUAAAAUUCUUCAUCCUAGACUUUGUUUGACUGACAUCUCGAUUAACAUCGGUUUCGACUGAAAUCUCUGUUUCACCACUGGAAGGCAUUUUAGUCAACUUUGGGUUCGUGCUUACCCUACGACACUUCGUAUCUUUUCACUUCAUAGCUUUGCUAUAGCAGACAGACUGUCUUGGAAGAGCACUCAGAUCCGAAAGUUUUAGCCAUAACCUUUAGGUGUUUAAUCACCCAUUAACAUUCUGUCGAGUGAAUCAUUACCACCGGUGAUUGAAUAUCCAUGCAAUUAUCGUCCCUGAGUUUAUCGUUGUAACAAGUUGUUUUGAAUAUUAGAAUAGGGAAAAAGUUUAAGUUCACAUCCAUCAGAUUACUUUAGACUACCACCGGAGUCAAGUCCACACUCAACCAUUCAAGUUAGGUACUUACACGUAUUCUUGCAUCAAUGUUACACAUUCACUCCUGUUACCAUAUACUUUAGAUUUGUUGACCUUGUUUUGACCCUUAAAUUCGUGAGUGUCCACUUAUCAUUCUCGGCAUCACUAUUUGCUAAAUCCGAGAGAAAUUUUCAAUGAAUCAGCUUCUGUAGGCGUUGUGAAUCACAUUGUUCUGGUUCUCGGUGUAUCAUCACUUUUGUACCUCAUCGUGAUUCGCAUUUCACCUCUAAGUUUUGUGAAGUUUUCGGGAAGGUCUUGAAUACUAAGUUGUUUGUCUUGUAUUGCAUUUUUAUUUGCAAACUGUUGGACAGUCUUGAACGAACUAUCUAGAUCUUGAAAGACAUGUUGCGUUCCUUUGAUUUGUGGUUUCUAAAUGAUUAGAUUUUGCACCGAUCUCUUUUGGAGUAGUUACGACGAUAGUUUUAUUUUUAGUUUGAGUAUAGCACUGUUUCAUACUUGGUAUGAUAAAUUCUAAGGAAAACUAAUGAAAAGAGCUUGAAAACUUUGAGUUUUACGAUAAGGACAAAAUAAAGGGUAAGGUAAAUAGUACCAUGAUUGACUUUUUAGUGUAAAAAUAUGGUUUUUCGUUAAAGUGAAUAGUACCGGGUGCUUUUCGUUAAAGUUCCCUAAAUUCUAUUUGCAGCAUUGGUUAGACAGUAGAGUUUUGUGAAUUGGUUUUCGGAUGUUUGAUUUUACGAUUUGAGAAACUGUUUGCAUGUGUUGUUGUCGCCUUAGUAUUUUGACAGAUUGGUAUGUUUGCACCCUUAGGAAAUUACUACUUGCUUAUCAAGACAACAAUGUGUUGUCAAUAUCGCGGGCGGCCGACUGUGAUAUCGAUAGCUUAUUUGUUGGGAUCGUCAAGCAAGUGGACAGGUAAACCCACCUACGAUAGUUGGUACUGUUUAGUUAUUGUUAGGGCUUGACCUAAAAACACGUAUGUUCUCAGAGUACGUGAUGUUAUGAAUGCUUGGGCGAGACCCACUUUCAUUUUCAAUUUUGAUUUUCAAUACAAGUAUUUUAACUUACCUUAUUAUAGUAAUAUAUUUGUAUUUUUGAUGUUACAAAUGUUCGGUUGAAUCUUUUCCACUUUCAGUUUUAAGUUCAAUACUAGUUUUCGACCUAUAUGUUAGUAAUUAUCUAUUUUGACGUUAUCCUACUACGUACAUACUUUUGACCUUAUGUUGUUAAAUAUUUUCGACUUUAUAUCUUUAUAAAGUAUGUUUCUACUAUUUUGUCAUGGGGGGAGAAAGUAGGAGCUUAGAGGUAUGAAAGAGGAUUUUGCAACCCGCUCACGACGGUGUGGCAUAUUCUCUUUGAUGCAACCACUCUAACUUGAUUUAUUCUUUAUACAUAUAUUCUUUCCUAUCUUCGAGUAUUUAUGUAUAAUACGUUAUUUCAAAUUUCAGGACGUAAUUUUCUUAAUGGGGGUAAAUUGUGACGACCUGUCCCGGAAUUUACAGAUCAGAAGUGCAUUUUGGUAAUGUCAUUGGGAUUGGGCUAGAUAUUUUGAAUUGUUGCUUUUUGGGUCUUAAAUUGUGUGCCACUUGGGGCCCAUUUCCUUUUUGGUCCCCCUCCGACCCUCUCUCAUUUCUUCCUUUGGACCCUUGACUCAUUUUCCUUCUUAUAACUCUCUCAUAUCUCUCCCUCCCCUCACUUUUCUCUCCCAUUUCUCUUAGUUCCCCGACUCUUUCUCUCUCUCUCUUUCUCGAAAAACUCUCCCUCUCCUCUCUGGGCUUAACCACAUUAACCACAACCCUAGGCAAACCUUCGUCGAACCUCAACAGUGACGGAAUCAUUAUUCACCGUCUUCCUUGUCAGACUCCUACAUGUUUCGUGACUAUUCCAACAUUGGUAAGUUCCCUCAAACCCUUGGGAUGUAUUUUAGGGUCAAAUCGAAGCUUGUUUUAAGUUGUACAUACGUGUUAAUCGCAAAAAAAUAGUUUGGAGUAGUUUUUCCCAGUUUUCCGGUGAGCAUCUCCACUUUCGAGGCGUUUUCCGGCCAAACCACAAUGAGUUAGCCAUCGUGAAAGGUACCAUUCUCUUCAUGUCGUUGAGUACUACAACUUUGGUUUUUGAAUCACUUGAUU
rnacentral:lncRNA from 1 species